AGUAGGAGGCCCCAAAUGAUGCGAAGCAUCAUUUUUACAUGGGGCCGACGAACUGCCGCCGAAGCUUUAGCUGAGGAGGCGACACCAUAA
rnacentral:sRNA from 1 species